rnacentral:lncRNA from 1 species
CAAAGUCAUCCAGUCCAAGGGGGACGGCCAAAACUAAAACUUCUCCUGCUAAAAGGAAGAGAAACAUUCAAGAUAAGCCCAAAAAUAAGUCGAGAAAGAAUUUAAUUCUGCAAUCUGAUGGGUCUAAGCAAUCUACAAUCACAAAGUUCUUCAGGAAAACUCCACAUUUUUCAGAUUGUCCUAAAAUGGAAUCUAUAGAAGAGCAAAAUUGUCAAGAUCAAAGUUCUCCAAACGGUAUUACCGAAUAUGUAAACAAGAUUGACAAGUUUAUUCAAAUAAUAAAUGGUGACGAAUCAUUAAAAACACUUGUUGCAUCAUUAUUGGUAAAGACAAACGGAGACAUGAAUAUGGCACUUGAUUUGUAUUAUACUAAUCAUCAGGAGAGACUUGGUCAAAAUGAAAAGGGUCACAUCUUCAGCGCGAACCCAAUCCAAACUGAAAGCAAUUCGGAUGAAUGCUUAUCUACUCAGAAGAAAAACAUGCUAGAAAAUAUUGGACUUGAGACUGAUUUGUCUAAGAAGAUAAAUGAAACUUUUGUAUCCCUUCCACCUGAAGAUUAUGAUCCAGUCAAGCAUGGUUCGUAUUAGUUCUUUACAGUUUUAUCAAGCCACCAUAUUUUUCUUAGAUAUGUCUGCAUAUUUGAUUUUUUGAUACACUGUGCAUGGAAAUCUUGCAUGGUAUAAAUUUAGCCUGUUGGCGGUAUGGACAGCCUGCCCCAUAUAUACAUCUUGUACGUACUUUUGAUCUGCUUGAAGAGGAAAAAGGGAAGAUAAAAGCUACAUCUAUGCUUUGCAAUAUGUUUAGAAGGUUUGGAUUCUAUUGAUUGUGUCCUUUUAUUUUAAAUGUCUUUUGCUGUGUUGCUUAUUGGUUAGGUUUUACACAAUAUCUUAGUGAUACUUUGUUUUUUUUUUCCCUGUUUAUUUAAACUUUUGCAGUUUAUUGGUUUUGUCUUCUGAGGAUGUGCUGCCUGCAGUGUAUUUAUGCACUAACAAAAUUGCUGCUGACCAUGAAAACAUGGUUUUGUUACUUAACUUUAUUCUCUAUAAAUUAUGUUUCAAUAAUAUAAAAUUUACCUUGUGUUUUUGGAUGAGUGUUCUUUUACCUGAUGAAAGUUAUGCACGGAAGUUGUUACCUUUUAUCAUUAAUUGUUUUUCUCCCCAUUCAUUUUAAUGUAAUUUCAGUUAUUGGAGAUUGUGUGUUCGAAGAUAAAGAAAGGAAAAAAGAGUUAUGGGGAUUAAGAUGUGAAGUUUUCAGAGGAAAAUAUUCCUCGAUGAUGUGGACUAAGAUUAUUUUAUAUUAUUUUAUUUUUAAUCUUUUGAAGCAAUAAACUAGGAUUUUCUUGAGAGUGUUCUUGAUGGAAGUUCUUUUUUCCUGUUUCUUUUUCUUCCUUUUCUUCUUUUUUUCUUUUUUUUUUUUAUUUGUGGGAAGAGGGAUGGCUGAGGUGAAGGGUUUUGUCUUAAAGAUCUUCUGAAGAGGGAUGUACAGGGAUCUAAUGGUGUUUGGUCUCUUGUUAGGUUUGUUGUUUAGCUUUGGACGUUUGUAUGAAGGCUUUUUAUGAAAAUAUAUGAUAGGUUGUAUUUUACUAGAUUGGAGCCCUUCUUCUUUAGUUUGGAUUCCUUUGGUCCCCGGUUUUUUGUGGAUUCUCUUGUGUUCUUUUUGUUUCUUCUUGCUGAAAGUUGAUUUAUUAUAUAAAAACAAAUUUUAAUGUUUUCACAAGGAUAAGAAUUAAGAUUAGAGCAAACAAAGAGGGAUGGGACUAGGUAAUCUUUCUUUGUUAUUUAUAAUAAUUAUUCUUUUACAUUAGAAAGUAAUUUGAAGGUAACAUGUAUAAUCCACAUUUUUAUUGUACAAGGAUCAAAAAGAGGGAAAAGGAGAAGUAUCGUUAAUGUAUUUUCUAUUUUUCUCAAAUUCUACAAGUGAUAUGAGUUCUUUCAGGGAGGGGCUUCUCGCCACUCUUUUCUAGACUGUUCUUUUUUUUAUUAAUACAAAGGUAUUUCUUAUCAGAAAAGGAAAAUGUGCAUCUCUCUCUCUCAUUCAUGUCUUCGAAUAUUUGAAACUGAUUUAAUUUUUCUUUAUAAUAUUUUUUUUUCCCCAGUCUCAGAAUUAGAUUGAUGCAUCGGAAUAAUAGUCGUCUUUUGGAAACAAAUUCCUUAAGGAUGUUUUAUUGGCAUGUUUACAGCAUUUUUGGGCUUAUGCAAUUUGUAGAUGUUGCUUCAUAAUUAAUCUGUGGCUUCGUUUUGUUCAUAAAAUGAGAUUCCCAGCAUGCCCUGUUUCUUAUAUAUGGAUGAAUAUUAUUGGGAAUUUGAGUAUCUAGUUGAGUGUUCGUGGUCCCGUGGAAUGUUACUUUUUAAGAAGGUAAUUUCUCUCUCCUCUUUCCUCUCUUCUCUCUCCUCCUUCCUCCCCUGCCUUCUCGGCUCUUCCCCUCUUUCUGGUAGCUCCACAAAGACUGCAAUUUUGCUCUGAUCAGACUUCACUUUGGACUUUUCUGCAUUAGAAACAGAAACAGAUGGAAGUAAAAAGUUGCAGGAUGGACAAGUUGUAUUUUUGCAUUUGGCACGAAGAUGGGAUUUUUCAAGUAGAAGAUAUUGGCGCAGGUUUAAACAAAUCUAUUUCCAAAUCCCAGUUUAUUUGGUUCAUUGAAGCCAUCUCAGCUUUGCAUCGAUGAUCAGAGGACUCUACUUUUACAAGAAAGAAAAAUUAGAAAAUGGGACGGUGGAAGUUUCCAAGUUCAGAUAAAAAUGGUUGGGUGCUGAGGUGCAAUGUAUGGCAUUGUAAUGGCGGAAGAUCAAAUUAGAAGCCUUUUCGGUCAAGGUCGUGUAGAACAUGAGAUUCUGGACCCAGAAUCCCUGUUCGUAACCAUAGAUGGAAUAGCUUAAACAAACAAAAAAAGGAGUAAUUUUAAAAAGGGAACAUUUUCUUCUACUAGAAUAAUUCCUCUAAUUUACCAGUUCAAGUCACCUUGUUUUCUUUUUUCCAUAGGUAAAGCAAAGCAAAAUCUUUUAAGAAUGCAUCUGGUUGCAUCUUUCUUUAUCACCUUUCUCCUUGAUCCACAAAGACAAAAUGGAGGACUGGUGUUGGUUAACAAGCUUCAACCAUGUCUGAUAUCAACCGCAACUCCCCAUGCCGACGACCAUUUGAAGUAAUGUGGCCUUUCCUUUUCAUAUUCCAAUUGGUGAAGACAAACAGGGGUAGAGAACUUUUUGUAAAAUGCUUGGCAGAUUGGAAGCAAGUCAUGAGUAUAAAAUUUGGUAUUCACCCAAACUCUAUCCUCAUCUAUUCAGCAUCACUGAGAAGAAGUCUUGUAUUCUUAUGAAGGGCAGUUAUGUAGACAUGGUGAAGAACAAGGGGACUAACCAACACUCUGUUGCGGCAUCAGUAAAACAGAGCACAAGCAAAUACUGGGUUAUUAAGAACCUGGAUGUAUGCAAGAUUGAUUUCGAUAAUCUAUAGGUAGUAUUGAAUUUUUUCAGCUGCUGUUUUGGUUGUUUUUCUUGCCUUGAUGGGAGUUUGUCAUGUUCUUAGGCCUCGUUUUGUUUGUUCGUGUAUUUAGGUCUCGGUUUCUUUGGCCCUUGAGAUUCUAGCUCUUUGUAUAAUUCUCUUAUACUUUGAGCAUUAGUCUAAUUUUAUUAUAUUAAUGAAGGUAGUUGAUUUUAAAAUAAUUUUAAAAAAAAGAUAAUCUAUGGGUUGAAACAAAGUUUUUUAAGUUUGAUUGUCACAUCCCGCCCUAGGCACCUACUUGCUCGUCCCGAGACGUGGUGUGAUGUCAGUCGAAGCGUUUGCCUCUGGAACAACCUCAACUGACACAUGACAUGGAAACAUGGAAUAAUCAACAACGGAAGUUUUUUAACUUGAAAUAAUUAUAACCGUAGUGUGAUCCACUUGGAAUCUUUUAUAAAAUGUAACAUGGAUACUGAACAAAACAGGAAUAAAUAAGUAUUUGAACCGUCACAUAACUAUUUUGAAACAAGAUCAACGAACCGCCUCUUCCCCUGUCACAAGUUCAACGAGUUGGCGGGUGGGAGAGCAUGGGAGAACCAUUUUGUGCUUUGUCAGUUGGGUUCGUCUCCAUUUGUGUUUUCCAGUUGAUCUCUGUAUUUGGUUCCUCUGAAAUCCAAUCAAGUGUGAGGUCUUUGGAAAAUUAACCUUUUGGUUCUUCGAAUUUGUUGUUUUUUUGUUCUAAUUUGGGUAGUGGAUGAUUAGCAGCUUCCCAAAUCUUGGUUUUCAGUCCCUCAGGGUUUCUAUGUAUGCCUUAUAUAUAUGGAAUUCUUUUGUAUAGAAUGAAUCAAGUGAGUUAUUUCAUAUUUCCUCUAACUUCAACAUCCUCUACAUGUCGUGCCCUAUAUUUUUAAAAACUCGCAUGUCGUCGUGUCUUGUGUCUCAUGUUGGUGUUUGUGCUAGAGUACUACUAGGUUGAGAAAUAGGCAAACUAGAUUGGGAACUCUCAAUAUAAAAAUUUCAUCUAAUGACAGAAUCUCAUAAUCAGAAAAGGUUUGUUUUAGUCAUUCUAAAUUAAGGUAACAGUCCAUUCAAUAAUGUCGUAACAGUCAUCUUUUCACGCUGAAUAUUUUAACCUUGACAUCGGAGCUAAAAGGUAAUAGUAAAGCAAGUUCAGCAACUGUCUUCUUAAGCCACUUAAGCCACAUAAAGUAGCUUGUAAUAAAUUCUACCUUCUGUGCAGCUCGAAAAAAUUGGAUAUAAACAUCAAACAUUUGAUGAACUUGUUCUUUUCUAGAGUAUAGAAAGUCUAAGAAUUCUAGGAGCUCUUUCACAAAAUCACAAUGAUCUACCAAACCAACAUCACGUUCAAUAGAAUUCUUAAUUUGAAGAUAAAGUCAAGUAUUAUCAUGUGGGCGGCUCCUCAAUCACACGAUCAUCCAUAUAUGUACUAAGUAAAAUUCAACUAUGCGACGCCAAUCAUAGUAGCUAGAUCCAUUUAACUUGUGUUUUGUUAUAUUCAGUGUUAGAGGAAUAACAAUCGGACACAACUAUAUGUUUCACGUCACUCAUUAUUAGGUAACCAACUGUUUGAAGAUCUCACAAGAGAAAGAGAAACAAAUAAAAAAAACAGAAUUUCAAAUUGAAUAGAAACAACAACAAACCUAAGCACAAAAGGUUAUUUUCGAAUAACUUCACAACCUGAGCAGGUUUCAAUGAUACCAAAUGCAGACUUGUCAGAAAAUGCAAACAAAGACGAAACCUACCGACGGAAACCAAACUAGAGUACCCACACACUGGCUCGUGGAGACAGGACGCAAUCGUUCUGGCAGCGUGUGAACCUCACAUGCGACUGUUGAACGAUGAUGGCAGACUUCAGUGGACAGCAGCGACACUCCACCUGAGAUGGCUGGUGUUGACAAACAGCCACUCGAAGAUACCUACACUUGAACCAUAAUGGAGAACGAAGUCGCUAAACGAAUAAUUCCAAACCCUGGAUUCUUAACACCAUGUAAUCUAUACUUUUGGAUUAUAUAAUAAUCUUAUUUUUUAACCAGAUUGCAGAUACAUAUAGUAUAUAUAGGCAACUAAGAAACCUUAAUCUAGGGAAUGUAAAAUUACAAUAAACUAUAAAGGACGACUUUGCAUAAUUACAAUAUAAACACAUUAUAACACCUGAAAAAUAGUUUUCUACUUUUUUGGUUGCAUCUUUUAAAACCUUACAUGAGUCCCACCUGAAAGGAUAAGGUCCGUAUAUGCUCAUAGUAGUCUUAUGUCAAAGGGUCCUAACCAAUAAAGCCAUGUUUAGCACCCUUAAAGUAUCAUGCCCAGAUAGAUCUUUUUGGGCCAAAAGGCUUAGCCAGUCAGCACUUCCCAAUUCACUAAAAUGAGAGCCUUUUUUUUCCAACACCCCUCCAAUGAAAAACUUGUUAUGCCCC